rnacentral:lncRNA from 1 species
UUUUUUUUUCAGAAAUCACGCUAAAGUGCGAUGGUAUGACACGCUAAAGUCCGAUGGUGUAACGGGAAUGGGGUUCAGGCAAUGGUUUUCGUUUGUUGCUGAGUUCCUAUCACAUUUUCGUAUAUUGUUUUGAUUAUGUGUCAAGCCGUAGUCUUUAUCUUUUGAAUUGUUUUACACUGGUUAUUGUAUAACCCUAUAUAGCUUGUAGCGGCAUGGACCAAUGCUUUACGUUGACGGCCGUAUGAUUAUUAGCCGCAUACAUGAACGGCAUUUGGGAUUGAAUGGAUAGUUUUUU